rnacentral:tRNA from 1 species
GGUUGUGGCUCAGUGGUAGAGCUCUUGCCUCGCAUGUGUGAGGCACUGGGUUCAAUUCUCAGCACCA